CUUUGGGGUGUGACUGCGUACCUUUUGUAUAAUGGGUCAGCGACUUAUAUUCUGUAGCAAGGUUAACCGAAUAGGGGAGCCGGAGGGAAACCGAGUCUUAAUUGGGCGUUAAGUUGCAGGGUAUAGACCCGAAACCCGGUGAUCUAGCCAUGGGCAGGUUGAAGGUUGGGUAACACUAACUGGAGGACCGAACCGACUAAUGUUGAAAAAUUAGCGGAUGACCUGUGGCUGGGGGUGAAAGGCCAAUCAAACCGGGAGAUAGCUGGUUCUCCCCGAAAGCUAUUUAGGUAGCGCCUCGUGAAUUCAUCUCCGGGGGUAGAGCACUGUUUCGGCUAGGGGGCCAUCCCGGCUUACCAACCCGAUGCAAACUGCGAAUACCGGAGAAUGUUAUCACGGGAGACACACGGCGGGUGCUAACGUCCGUCGUGAAGAGGGAAACAACCCAGACCGCCAGCUAAGGUCCCAAAGUCAUGGUUAAGUGGGAAACGAUGUGGGAAGGCCCAGACAGCCAGGAUGUUGGCUUAGAAGCAGCCAUCAUUUAAAGAAAGCGUAAUAGCUCACUGGUCGAGUCGGCCUGCGCGGAAGAUGUAACGGGGCUAAACCAUGCACCGAAGCUGCGGCAGCGAACGUAUCACUUAAAGCGAUUCAGCGGGUUACGAUUGACGGAGCGAAGCGACGUCAAAGCGUAUACAAAGUCGAGUCGGUUUAAGGAUACGUUCGUUGGGUAGGGGAGCGUUCUGUAAGCCUGCGAAGGUGGCCUGUGAGGGUUGCUGGAGGUAUCAGAAGUGCGAAUGCUGACAUAAGUAACGAUAAAGCGGGUGAAAAGCCCGCUCGCCGGAAGACCAAGGGUUCCUGUCCAACGUUAAUCGGGGCAGGGUGAGUCGACCCCUAAGGCGAGGCCGAAAGGCGUAGUCGAUGGGAAACGGGUUAAUAUUCCCGUACUUGGUGUUACUGCGAAGGGGGGACGGAGAAGGCUAUGUUGGCCGGGCGACGGUUGUCCCGGUUUAAGCGUGUAGGUGUGUGUUCCAGGUAAAUCCGGUUCACUUUAACACUGAGGCGUGAUGACGAGGCACUACGGUGCUGAAGCAACAAAUGCCCUGCUUCCAGGAAAAGCCUCUAAGCAUCAGGUAACAUCAAAUCGUACCCCAAACCGACACAGGUGGUCAGGUAGAGAAUACCAAGGCGCUUGAGAGAACUCGGGUGAAGGAACUAGGCAAAAUGGUGCCGUAACUUCGGGAGAAGGCACGCUGACACGUAGGUGAAGUGAUUUACUCAUGGAGCUGAAGUCAGUCGAAGAUACCAGCUGGCUGCAACUGUUUAUUAAAAACACAGCACUGUGCAAACACGAAAGUGGACGUAUACGGUGUGACGCCUGCCCGGUGCCGGAAGGUUAAUUGAUGGGGUCAGCGCAAGCGAAGCUCCUGAUCGAAGCCCCGGUAAACGGCGGCCGUAACUAUAACGGUCCUAAGGUAGCGAAAUUCCUUGUCGGGUAAGUUCCGACCUGCACGAAUGGCGUAAUGAUGGCCAGGCUGUCUCCACCCGAGACUCAGUGAAAUUGAACUCGCUGUGAAGAUGCAGUGUACCCGCGGCAAGACGGAAAGACCCCGUGAACCUUUACUAUAGCUUGACACUGAACAUUGAGCCUUGAUGUGUAGGAUAGGUGGGAGGCUUUGAAGUGUGGACGCCAGUCUGCAUGGAGCCGACCUUGAAAUACCACCCUUUAAUGUUUGAUGUUCUAACGUGGACCCGUAAUCCGGGUUGCGGACAGUGUCUGGUGGGUAGUUUGACUGGGGCGGUCUCCUCCUAAAGAGUAACGGAGGAGCACGAAGGUUGGCUAAUCCUGGUCGGACAUCAGGAGGUUAGUGCAAUGGCAUAAGCCAGCUUGACUGCGAGCGUGACGGCGCGAGCAGGUGCGAAAGCAGGUCAUAGUGAUCCGGUGGUUCUGAAUGGAAGGGCCAUCGCUCAACGGAUAAAAGGUACUCCGGGGAUAACAGGCUGAUACCGCCCAAGAGUUCAUAUCGACGGCGGUGUUUGGCACCUCGAUGUCGGCUCAUCACAUCCUGGGGCUGAAGUAGGUCCCAAGGGUAUGGCUGUUCGCCAUUUAAAGUGGUACGCGAGCUGGGUUUAGAACGUCGUGAGACAGUUCGGUCCCUAUCUGCCGUGGGCGCUGGAGAACUGAGGGGGGCUGCUCCUAGUACGAGAGGACCGGAGUGGACGCAUCACUGGUGUUCGGGUUGUCAUGCCAAUGGCACUGCCCGGUAGCUAAAUGCGGAAGAGAUAAGUGCUGAAAGCAUCUAAGCACGAAACUUGCCCCGA
rnacentral:rRNA from 1 species